CAGGUGGGCACUCCUGAGCCUGCAGAGCAGAAAAGACCACCAACACUGCCCACCCCUGCCCACAUCCCUAUCCCAAGAGGAAACUGUAUAUGGCCUCUGGGUUCCCGUAGAGGAGGGCCCAGGUGCAGCAGGACCGCUGCGUCUGAGACACAUCCAGAACCUGAAGAGACUGACCAGAUAAACAGUUCUCUGCACCCAAAUCCCGUGGGAGGGAGAGCUCAACCUUCAGAGAGGCAGACACGCCUGGGAAACCAGAAAAGACUGCACUCUGCACACAUCUCUGACGCCAGAGGAAAACACCAAAUGCCCUCUGGAAGCCUGGUGCACGGAAGCUCCCAGAAAGAGCAGCGCAGAUCUUCCUGGUUGCUGCUGCUGCUGAGAGCUCAUAAGCAAAACCCCACGAGCAAACUUGAUCCUCAGAACCUCAGGUAAGACCAACUUUUCUGCUGCAAGUGACCUGCCUGGUGAACUCCAGACACAGUCCCACAGGAACAGCUGAAGACCUGUAGAUAGGAAAAACUACACGCCCGAAAGCAGAACACUCUGUUCACAUAACUGGCUGAAAGAAAACAGGAAAA
rnacentral:lncRNA from 1 species